CAGUCGACGAAACUUCUUUAUCACCGAGUGCUUGCACUCACCGAUAAAGAGUUGAGUGGCGAACGGGUGAGUAACACGUGGGCAACCUGCCCAAAAGAGGGGGAUAACACUUGGAAACAGGUGCUAAUACCGCAUAACCAUAGUUACCGCAUGGUAACUAUGUAAAAGGUGGCUAUGCUACCGCUUUUGGAUGGGCCCGCGGCGCAUUAGCUAGUUGGUGGGGUAAAGGCUUACCAAGGCAAUGAUGCGUAGCCGAACUGAGAGGUUGAUCGGCCACAUUGGGACUGAGACACGGCCCAAACUCCUACGGGAGGCAGCAGUAGGGAAUCUUCCACAAUGGGCGAAAGCCUGAUGGAGCAACGCCGCGUGGGUGAAGAAGGUCUUCGGAUCGUAAAACCCUGUUGUUAGAGAAGAAAGUGCGUGAGAGUAACUGUUCACGUUUCGACGGUAUCUAACCAGAAAGCCACGGCUAGCUACGUGCCAGCAGCCGCGGUAAUACGUAGGUGGCAAGCGUUAUCC
rnacentral:rRNA from 1 species